CUGAGAUUUCGUCACACACCAGACCACAAGGGCUGAUGAGACUUCCAAGAUAAGUGAAGCG
rfam:Schistosoma margrebowiei strain Zambia genome assembly, scaffold: SMRZ_contig0009098